UACUGAUUACAUCUUAUGUAACAUGCAAUUCAGAUUUAAAAUAAUUUUAUAUCUAAAUUUUAUCCUAUUAUAAUAAAUUAUAAAUUAUUUUAGAUCUAAUCUAAAUAUAUUUAUUAUAAAAUAAUAUAUAAAUAUUUAUUCACUUUUUUUCUUCAUGAAAAUGGAUCACAAUGACAUCUCUACACGUCAUAAAAGAACC
rnacentral:lncRNA from 1 species